GAUUAUUAAAAUACUCAACAAUGACACUGAAAGUUUAAGAGCCAGGUGUGGUCUUUGUUUCAAGUUAUCUUACUAUAAAGGUCUUGGAAUAUCAGAGUAGAUAAUAAAGGUUGAGAUUUUAUAGGGCUAUGUGCAGCAAAUUUUAUAUAUAUAUAUAUAUAUAUUAAAGUGGACAUUCUUCAAGUAAAAAUCUAGCUGAAAUAGAUGUGUGUGUAAAAAGGGCAGAGAAAAUUAUAGCUUUUACACCAGUAUGCCAAACUCUUCAUCAGGACGAAAUAAUAAGUUUCCAAAUAUGACUUUUCUUAUUUUGACUGAGGCAGCCUUUUUAAGAAAAGUCAAACUACAUAUAGGAGUUGCUUCCCUUCAACUUCAGAAAUCUCUAUCUAUAGGAAUUGGUUGAGUUAAUCCGAGCCAAGAAGGCAGCACAAGAAGCUGCCAAAGCAAAGAAAUGAUGACAGGAACAGCCAAAAAUAACCUACUUUAAAGACUCUUUCAAGUGUAGAAUUAUUGAAAAACAGAAAUUUUUUCAUUGAAGUUGCACACUAGUAUUUAAAAUUUGUUAUACCCCCUCCUGGACAUGUUGAGCAAUAUAUUUGUCGUGUUGUUA